ACCCUAUAAACAAAGCCCCAUGGAAACCAUUCUGGCGCGGUGUGGGGUAAUAAGGUUUCAUUGGGUAGAUUGACCUACUUACAAUCGCCCCUAUAAAAACGUUAACGGAUCGGUGUGGGAUUUUAGUUAUUGGGCCGUUAACGUCUUUCCGCUUUCGUGCCGGUGUGGGAUUUCCCCAAUCACGCCAGAACCAACAUGAUGAAAUCUUUAUUAUAACAUAAAAAACAAUAUUAUGAUGUUUUAAAAUGUAGUAUUAAUCGUCUUAAAGCUAAAUGUUGCUUUGAAUCCUUUUUGUAAGUAAUAUUAAGAUUUAAAAAAAAAAUUAAUUAGGGUUCUAUUGGGGAAAUCCCUAACUGGAAUAGUGAAGUUUUACCCGUAUGGGCCCAAUGCAGACUUUUCGUAAUCAAAUAGUGUGUGUGUGUGUGUCUGAUUUUUUAAUGUGCACACUAAAAAAAUAUAUCUAUAUCUAGUAAUAUUUAAUCACACAUAGAAUCUAAAGUUAAAGGAGAACAUAUUUGUUUUUUUGUUGUUUUUUUUUUAGAUUUAGAUUUUAAAAAAAGUUUUAUACAUUUUAACAUUUUUUUCGACCAAUGAAAAAGAAGCAUUUAUUUCUUUUAAGCUCGCGAUAUUCGGCACAAACUGGAUUAUUCAGUCUUCACUCUAGAGCGUACACACGUGGAUCAAAUUAGAGCUAGCUAGAUCUAGAUCUAAAUCUAGUUGAAGAUAUCUACUUGGUAGUCUAAACCUCAAAAGAGCUUAGGGAAGUGAUGGCAGUUGCAGGGUAUGAACCAGACGACCAUGCAGAGACCAACGAGGCGACCAAACAGUCCAUCGUGCAUACCACAUAACCAGGUCCAGAAUGCCAGUUUUCUUUAAGGGCAGCUGACAAUAAGAAUUGUCUAUGUAUGCACUACAGAGGCUGUUCAAUAUCUUUUCAUGAGGAAGCCUGCUCAAAAAGAUCGCCACAUUUUCUUUAGGGGAAGUUGACAUUAAUCUUUUAGGUUAAUAAUAACCUAUGAAUGCAGUACAGAUGCUGUUCAUCAUCUUUUCAUAAGCAAGCCUGCUCAAGAAGCUGCUGCAUGGAAGUCAAAAUAUGAAUUAUUGCCACCAGUCUUGAAGUCAGCUUGUAAAGAAUGCUGAGAAUUGAAUGAAAAUGCUGUCUUGAUAUCUUGUUUGUGCUGUUAUAUUUGUCUUUUGUGUUGGUUAAUUAUUCCAUGAAUAAAAAAUAAAAAAAAGUUAA